AUGGCGCCUUACAAUAUAAAGUGUUUCUUUAUUUCUGUUCCUUAAGCCUUAGAAAUUGCCUGUAACUAAGUUAGUUAUAAGUGUAAACUAUUAACUGAUAACUAGGAAAGUGGACAGAAUAAAGUCGAGUGCGCCCGCUAAUAAAAUAUUAUCCAAUCGAGUUCAAGCAAGAUUCUUGGAACAAAUCAACAAUGUCUGCGCACGAUGGUCCUCUAGAAAUGCUGCAUAUAACAGCAUUCUUCUGAAAAAAAAGUGUCUCACAGUUGAUGCAGAAUGGGGAAAACAUUAUUCAAGAAAUAUUACAGGAAAUAUCAGAAAGCCUUCCGUUCGUCCUUGACCUGUUCUGCACAAUGGCAAUAGCUGGGAAAAACCCAUCAGCCAUUAAGAUUGCCCCGAUUGUUGCUGCCUAGUAUGCCAUCCUCAUGAAUGCCAGGAAUGAGAAGUUGUCAGCGUGGCACAGACUCACAACAGUUGUAUCCAUCAAAGGGCACUUGGAUGACUCGGCACUAACACUUUUCAACCGCAUGGGGCUGACAAUGUUGACAUCAUCCAAACUGCGCCUUUUGGAUGAAGCUGGUGAAAUGCUGGAAGACAACAUCGCCAGAAGUCUAAGAAAACCCACUUGUCAAAAUCACGGGUGACAAUUUGGACAUCUAUGUCAGAACAGGACAUCAUUCACUGGACAGACACAAAAAGGACCUCCACAUGUUUGCCUCAAAUAUCAUCUUC